UUGAUCUCACUGCUUUCAAGCUUUAGGUUUCAAUGGUCUAUGAAUUCUCUUUCUCCUAUUCAAUUCUAUUUCAAUUUCAAGUGUCUGUACUCAUUAAUUUUGGUAUGUUUUUAGUUAAAUUUAUUUAGAGAUUUUUGGAUUUCAAAGGUUUGCUCUGAAUUUUGUUUUUCCAGUUCCCAAGUUAUUGUUCUCUUCAUUUCUUUCAGUUUCAGCCUAACAUUGAUGAAUAUAGGAAUCACAAUUUCGGUAUGUGUAUCUUAGUUUCUUAUUCUUUUGGAUACAAUUUCUAGCUAAAAUUAAUUUCUAUAUGCAUGUUUAACUAACUACCUGAUUUGCACAUGCAUUGUGUUUCUUUGACGAAUGUUGUCCCGAUAAUCAAUUAAUUUGUGCGAAGUUAGACGUCUUACAAAAAUCUAAAACAUCCAAGAUCACUUAAAUUUGAAGUGGAUUGUGCAUCCAAGUUGUUUGAUUAUAUGCAUCACUUAACUUAUUUGAAGUUUCCUGUUGCCAUUCUCUAUUUUUGGGCUGUAGCAGGAUAGUCUUAUCAUCAACUGAUGUACCAGAAAAUAUUCAUUAGAUAGAGAAGAUCAUCAAGAUUUUGCAGGCGCUGCCGAACUUAUUUCAAUUUCAAG
rnacentral:lncRNA from 1 species